AUGGGGAAUAUUGGACAAUGGGCGCAAGCCUGAUCCAGCCAUACCGCGUGGGUGAAGAAGGCCUUCGGGUUGUAAAGCCCUUUUGUUGGGAAAGAAAUCCUAUCGAUUAAUACUCGGUGGGGAUGACGGUACCCAAAGAAUAAGCACCGGCUAACUUCGUGCCAGCAGCCGCGGUAAUACGAAGGGUGCAAGCGUUACUCGGAAUUACUGGGCGUAAAGCGUGCGUAGGUGGUUGUUUAAGUCUGCUGUGAAAGCCCUGGGCUCAACCUGGGAAUUGCAGUGGAUACUGGGCAACUAGAGUGUGGUAGAGGGAUGCGGAAUUUCUGGUGUAGCAGUGAAAUGCGUAGAGAUCAGAAGGAACAUCCGUGGCGAAGGCGGCAUCCUGGGCCAACACUGACACUGAGGCACGAAAGCGUGGGGAGCAAACAGGAUUAGAUACCCCAGUAGUCC
rnacentral:rRNA from 1 species